rnacentral:tRNA from 1 species
GCUGAUUUAGCUCAGUAGGUAGAGUGACUGCCUUGUAAGCAGUAUGUCGGCGGUUCGAUUCCGUCAAUCAGCACCA